rnacentral:rRNA from 1 species
AUGGCUCAUCUCAUCCAUCAUUUCUGUUCUAUCUCUGGUCAAACUCCAAACUGGGCUAAAUCUGCCAUUCUUUUUAGUUCUCAUCUUUUUAGUUCUCAUGUUAGUCAAGCUACUAUUCAGGAGAUUAAGCAAUUUUUUUCUGUUUCAAAUUUGGAUAGUAAUUUCACCCAUCUUGGUCAUCCACUUAUUCUUCCUGCUAAGAAUAGAAGUGUUGCUUAUAACUUUGUGCUUGACAAGUUUAAGAAUAAACUGCCUGCUUAUAAAGCCAAUAUGCUUUCUCAUGCUGCUAGGUUGGAAUUGAUUCGUUCUGUUUUCUCAGCUAUUCCUGUUUAUUAUAUGGCUAACAUUUUGUUCACUAAGAAGUUUCUUGCUAAGCUCACUGAUGUCAGUAGGAAUUUUUGGUGGACAGGUGUCAGGGAAAAUGAUUCAAGCAGGAGUCUUUGUCUUCGAGCAUGGAAAGAUAUUUGCAAUUCUAAAGAAGAAGGUGGCCUAGCUACUCCUUACUCUCCUAAAUCUGCUUUCUGGACCUCUGUUUUGAAAAUGAUGCCUAAGUUAAGAGCUCAUUCUUUUUAUCAAUUGACACAAGGUAAUAUCUCAAUCUGGAGUUCUCCUUGGUGCACUCUUUGGACUAGCAUUCAUGACUAUCUUAAUAUUCAACAACCAAGUUUUAUUUAUCCUUCUUUAGUUAGGGAUCUUUGGCUCCCUGGCCAAAAAAAUUGGAAUAAUGGUUUAAUACAUUUACUUUUUCAGCAACCUAUGGCUUCAGUCAUUGCUCAAACUGAUAUCAUUGAUGAUGACGGCCCAGAUUUACUCUGUUGGAAUCUGACACCUGAUGGAAUUUGUUCUUCCAAAUCUGCUUAUAAGCUUUGUUUGCAGGAAAUUCAUACAAAUCCUAGAGAUGCGCCUUCUGUAUUAUCUCUGGAGCUCAAGGACCUUCUCAAACUGGUCUGGAAACAAAAGCAGCUCAUUCCUAGGGUGCAAACUUUUGCAUGGAGGCUUCUUAGGAGAGCUUUACCUACAGGCUUGCGGGCAGGCCGUUUCUCUAAUCAUAUCUCUCCCAACUGUUGUAGGUGUGGCAUUCAAGAGGAUGAGUUCCAUUUAUUUUCCCUAUGUCCUUUUGCACGAGCUACUUGGUUUGAUUCCCCUUGGUUCAUUAGGUCGGAUGUUUUAGUCCAAGGCCAUGCUUCUAUGCAUUCCAUUCUCAUUGCCUUUCUUCGCAUGGGACAUCCAUACGGUUCUAUUUCAAACAUUCUAAACUUCUUGUGGUGUCUUUGGAAGGCUAGAAAUGAUUAUCUCUUUGAUAGGAAUAAGGCUCCUCCUCAUCAUGUGCACCUUGCCACUAAAGCUUUGUCUUCUGAUGCUUAUAUUGAUUUACCUCACUUGUCUCAGAUGCAGGUGACACCACAAGUACAACUUCCUCUUGAUCAGCUUCCUAUGCAGGGACGAACUCUCCGGUCGGAUUUGCUUGUUUCGGGCCCCAAAAUUUACUCUGAUGCAGCUUUCAGAUCUCGGAAAGUUCCUAGUUUACCACAAGGAGAAAUUGCAACGGGAGUGGGUAUUUAUAUUUCCUUGGCUCAAGAUCAAGUGAAUGUGCAGAUUCAAGCUUCUGCUCCUCCUACUACUUCUCCUCUACAUGCUGAAGCUCUGGCUCUCUCUUUUGUUGCUCAAGUGGCUAGUAAGCUCAAUAUUCUUCGACCAACAUUUCUCAUGGAUUUCCUCUCACUAUCGUCGGUGGCUGCUAUUGGAAGGAUAGUAGAAUCUACCACUCCUUGGUGCAUUAGGAAGCCUUUGGCUACUUUCUUCAACCAUGCUACCAAUCUGUAG